rnacentral:rRNA from 1 species
AUUGAACGCUGGCGGCAGGCCUAACACAUGCAAGUCGAACGGUAACAGGAAGCAGCUUGCUGCUUUGCUGACGAGUGGCGGACGGGUGAGUAAUGUCUGGGAAACUGCCUGAUGGAGGGGGAUAACUACUGGAAACGGUAGCUAAUACCGCAUAACGUCGCAAGACCAAAGAGGGGGACCUUCGGGCCUCUUGCCAUCGGAUGUGCCCAGAUGGGAUUAGCUAGUAGGUGGGGUAACGGCUCACCUAGGCGACGAUCCCUAGCUGGUCUGAGAGGAUGACCAGCCACACUGGAACUGAGACACGGUCCAGACUCCUACGGGAGGCAGCAGUGGGGAAUAUUGCACAAUGGGCGCAGGCCUGAUGCAGCCAUGCCGCGUGUAUGAAGAAGGCCUUCGGGUUGUAAAGUACUUUCAGCGGGGAGGAAGGGAGUAAAGUUAAUACCUUUGCUCAUUGACGUUACCCGCAGAAGAAGCACCGGCUAACUCCGUG